UACGUAGGGUGCAAGCGUUAAUCGGAAUUACUGGGCGUAAAGCGUGCGCAGGCGGUUGGGCAAGACAGAUGGGAAAUCCCCGGGCUUAACCUGGGAACUGCAUUUGUGACUGCACAGCUGGAGUGUGGCAGAGGGGGAUGGAAUUCCGCGUGUAGCAGUGUAAUGCGUAGAUAUGCGGAGGAACACCGAUGGCGAAGGCAAUCCCCUGGGCCUGCACUGACGCUCAUGCACGAAAGCGUGGGGAGCAAACAGG
rnacentral:rRNA from 1 species